GUUCAGAGUGCCAUGGGGAGUAAAUAUGCUGAGUGGGAUGCAGUGCCUGCCCAAAGAUUGAGCCAGAGAAGAGACUGCAAGAAGAGACCAAGACUACCAAGUGUCUCCCACCUGGCAAGCAAGUAAAGAGGGAUGUAAGAAGAUCAGAGGCACCACAAAAUGCCAUCAGCUCCCUCGCUUUCUAACAUCCUGCUAAGAUGCCAAACGCAUGACUUUUGUGUUGGUCUGCUGAAA